rnacentral:rRNA from 1 species
UACGGAGGGUGCAAGCAUUGAUCGGAAUUACUGGGCGUAAGGGGCGCGUAGGCGGUGAGAUAAGUCAGAUGUGAAAUUCCGGGGCUCAACCCCGGAGCUGCAUUUGAAACUAUCUCGCUAGAGUUCAGUUAGGGUAAACGGAAUUCCACGUGUAGCGGUGAAAUGCGUAGAUAUGUGGAAGAACACCGGUGGUGAAGACGGUUUACUGGGCUGAUACUGACGCUGAGGCGCGAAAGCAUGGGGAGCAAACAGG